GCUACAGGCUUAACACAUGCAAGUCGAGGGGCAGCAUGGUCUUAGCUUGCUAAGGCCGAUGGCGACCGGCGCACGGGUGAGUAACACGUAUCCAACCUGCCGUCUACUCUUGGACAGCCUUCUGAAAGGAAGAUUAAUACAAGAUGGCAUCAUGAGUCCGCAUGUUCACAUGAUUAAAGGUAUUCCGGUAGACGAUGGGGAUGCGUUCCAUUAGAUAGUAGGCGGGGUAACGGCCCACCUAGUCUUCGAUGGAUAGGGGUUCUGAGAGGAAGGUCCCCCACAUUGGAACUGAGACACGGUCCAAACUCCUACGGGAGGCAGCAGUGAGGAAUAUUGGUCAAUGGGCGCAGGCCUGAACCAGCCAAGUAGCGUGAAGGAUGACUGCCCUAUGGGUUGUAAACUUCUUUUAUAAAGGAAUAAAGUCGGGUAUGGAUACCCGUUUGCAUGUACUUUAUGAAUAAGGAUCGGCUAACUCCGUGCCAGCAGCCGCGGUAAUACGGAGGAUCCGAGCGUUAUCCGGAUUUAUUGGGUUUAAAGGGAGCGUAGAUGGAUGUUUAAGUCAGUUGUGAAAGUUUGCGGCUCAACCGUAAAAUUGCAGUUGAUACUGGAUAUCUUGAGUGCAGUUGAGGCAGGCGGAAUUCGUGGUGUAGCGGUGAAAUGCUUAGAUAUCACGAAGAACUCCGAUUGCGAAGGCAGCCUGCUAAGCUGCAACUGACAUUGAGGCUCGAAAGUGUGGGUAUCAAACAGGAUUAGAUACCCUGGUAGUCCACACGGUAAACGAUGAAUACUCGCUGUUUGCGAUAUACGGCAAGCGGCCAAGCGAAAGCGUUAAGUAUUCCACCUGGGGAGUACGCCGGCAACGGUGAAACCCAAAGGAAUUGACGGGGGCCCGCACAAGCGGAGGAACAUGUGGUUUAAUUCGAUGAUACGCGAGGAACCUUACCCGGGCUUAAAUUGCAGAUGAAUUACGGUGAAAGCCGUAAGCCGCAAGGCAUCUGUGAAGGUGCUGCAUGGUUGUCGUCAGCUCGUGCCGUGAGGUGUCGGCUUAAGUGCCAUAACGAGCGCAACCCUUGUUGUCAGUUACUAACAGGUUCCGCUGAGGACUCUGACAAGACUGCCAUCGUAAGAUGUGAGGAAGGUGGGGAUGACGUCAAAUCAGCACGGCCCUUACGUCCGGGGCUACACACGUGUUACAAUGGGGGGUACAGAGGGCCGCUACCACGCGAGUGGAUGCCAAUCCCAAAAACCUCUCUCAGUUCGGACUGGAGUCUGCAACCCGACUCCACGAAGCUGGAUUCGCUAGUAAUCGCGCAUCAGCCACGGCGCGGUGAAUACGUUCCCGGGCCUUGUACACACCGCCCGUCAAGCCAUGGGAGCCGGGGGUACCUGAAGUGCGUAACCGCGAGGAGCGCCCUAGGGUAAAACUGGUGACUGGGGCUAAGUCAUA
rnacentral:rRNA from 1 species